rnacentral:pre_miRNA from 1 species
UUCAGCCAAACUUUGAAAAAAAGUACGGGUUCGGGGUCAAGUUUGAGCCCGAACCCAUACUUUUUUUCAAAGUUUGGCUGAA